AGCAGCCGCGGUAAUUCCAGCUCCAAUAGCGUAUAUUAAAGUUGUUGCAGUUAAAAAGCUCGUAGUUGAAUUUCGGGACUAAUAUGUCGGUCGUACUUUGUACGUACUAGCAUUAUUGGUUUCUCCCUUCUGACGAACCACGAUGUCAUUAAUUUGGUGUCAUGGGAAAUCAGGACUGUUACUUUGAAAAAAUUAGAGUGUUUAAAGCAAGCUCGCGCUUGAAUACAUUAGCAUGGAAUAAUGAAAUAGGACGUUUGAUUCUAUUUUGUUGGUUUCUAGGAUCGACGUAAUGAUUAAUAGGGAUAGUUGGGGGCAUUAGUAUUCAAUUGUCAGAGGUGAAAUUCUUGGAUUUAUUGAAGACUAACUACUGCGAAAGCAUUUGCCAAGGAUGUUUUCAUUAAUCAAGAACGAAAGUUAGGGGAUCGAAGACGAUCAGAUACCGUCGUAGUCUUAACCAUAAACUAUGCCGACUAGGGAUCGGAUGAUGUAAUUUUUAAUGACUCAUUCGG
rnacentral:rRNA from 1 species